CGCCAGACUCCUACGGGAGGCAGCAGUGGGGAAUAUUGCACAAUGGGGGAAACCCUGAUGCAGCGACGCCGCGUGAGUGAAGAAGUAUUUCGGUAUGUAAAGCUCUAUCAGCAGGGAAGAAAAUGACGGUACCUGACUAAGAAGCCCCGGCUAACUACGUGCCAGCAGCCGCGGUAAUACGUAGGGGGCAAGCGUUAUCCGGAUUUACUGGGUGUAAAGGGAGCGUAGGCGGCACGGCAAGUCAGAUGUGAAAGCCCGGGGCUCAACCCCGGGACUGCAUUUGAAACUGUCAGGCUGGAGUGCAGGAGAGGUAAGUGGAAUUCCUAGUGUAGCGGUGAAAUGCGUAGAUAUUAGGAGGAACACCAGUGGCGAAGGCGGCUUACUGGACUGUAACUGACGUUGAGGCUCGAAAGCGUGGGGAGCAAACAGGAUUAGAUACCCCGGUA
rnacentral:rRNA from 1 species